rnacentral:lncRNA from 1 species
CCGGGCUUCAGCACCAGCACGGGGCAUCCCGGGCACUGGUCGUCCCGGGCAAUGGCACCGAGCAUCCCGGGCUCUGACACCGGGCAUCUGGCACCGGGCAUCCCAGGCACCAGCACCGGACAUCCCGGGCACUGGCACCGGUACUGGAUAUCCUAGGCACCAGCACCGGCACCGGGCAUCAUGGGCACCGAGGAUCCCGGGCACUGGCACCAGCACCGGGCAUCCCAGGCACCGGCACUGGGGCUACCCAGGCACCAGCACCAGGGGUCCCGGGCACCGGUACUGGCACUGGGGCUCCUGGGCUCUGGCUCCGGUGCUCCCUGGGCACCAGCAGCAGGGCUCCCAGGCACCAGCACGGGGGCUCCCCGGGUGCUGGCACUGGCUCCACCACCGGGGCUCCCCAGGCGUUGGCUCUGGCACCGGGGGCUCUCUGGGCACUGGCACCGGCAGCAGGGCCUCCCUGGGCACUGGGGGCUCCUCAGACACCAGCUUUGGGCACCAGCAUCAGGGUCUGCCAGGCACCAGCACUGGGGGUUCUUCAGGCAGCCACACUGGGGGGGUCCCCAGGCUCCGGCACCGGGGGCUCCUUGGGCAACAGCUCCAGGCACUGGCACCAGGGGCUCCCCUGGCAUCGGCACCAGCACUGGGGGCUCCCAAGCACCGGCAGUGGGUACUGGCACCGAGGCCUUCCCCGACAUCAGCUCUGGGGGCUUCUUGGGCACCAGCUCUGGGCACUGGCACCAGGGACUCCCAGGAUCUGGCCCUGGAGGAUCCCCAGGCACCAGCACCAGGGGCCUUUCCAGACACCAGCACCAGGUGCUCUCCUGGACACUGACACCAGCACUGGCACCAGAGGCUCCCCAGCCACCAGGACUGGGCACUGGCACCAGGGCCUCCACCAGACACUGGCACCAGCACUGGGAGAUUCUUGAGCACCAGUACCAGGCACUGGCCUGGGGGGUCCCUGAGCACCAGCACCAGAGGCUCCCCAGACACCAGGCACUGGCACCAGGGGCUCCCCCAGACUCUGGGCACUGGCACUGGGGGCUCCCCUGGACACCAGAAACCAGCACCAGCCCUGGGAGCUCUCCUGGACACCACACACUGGCACCAGCACUGGGAGCUCCUCCUGGACAUUUGCACCGGGCACUUCCCGGACACUGGCACCUGGGCCAGGCACCAGGCACCAGAAACCUGUACCAGGUGCUCCCACGGACACCAGCACCCAGGCAUCAGUCUUAUCAGAGGUGGCAAGACAUCCCGUUACUCCCCACUCGGGACACAGUGAGUGUGAAUAGUCCCAGAACUUAUGCUGGAAACAGCCUGAGCAACCCUGUGCAAUGAUCAGGAGCCGCCUGUGUAGAAGGGCCCUGUAUUCCCAGUGAAAUCCCCAGUCCCUCCCCCAGGAGAAGGAGCCCAGUCCUCCAGGAUAGGGCCCCGUGGGGGUCUUUCCCGCCGUGCUAGGGGCUUGCAGCUGGCCCGGCUCCCUCCUGUCGGCUUGGCUGCGAUGGAAAGCCUGACCUCUCCUCACCCAGAUCAGGACCACAGCCAGACCUGGAGCUGCCUCGGCUUAUCGGGAAAUUCCUUCAUCUUUAAUUUUCCCUGUCCCAAAGAUUUACUGGUUUAAGGCAAGCUCAGAGCCCCAAUCCCGCCGAUUAGCCGCAGCUUAAUCAGUGGCUUGGAGCACCUGGCGGGUGCCACUGCUGCUGCUGCUGCACAGGGAGCUUGCGGCGGCGGGCAGCGUGCGCAGGGCCAUCCCGGGCCGCUGUUGGGGCCUGGAGCACCCUGCCCCGACCCGGGGCUCUGCGCGGCAACCACCGCAGCGCCCUAGAGGGACGUGGGCAGAGGUCUGGGGCCGG